AUUGAACGCUGGCGGCAGGCCUAACACAUGCAAGUCGAGCGGAUGAGAGGAGCUUGCUUCUCGAUUCAGCGGCGGACGGGUGAGUAAUGCCUAGGAAUCUGCCUGGUAGUGGGGGACAACGUUUCGAAAGGAACGCUAAUACCGCAUACGUCCUACGGGCGAAAGCAGGGGACCUUCGGUCCUUGCGCUAUCAGAUGAGCCUAGGUCGGAUUAGCUAGUUGGUGAGGUAAUGGCUCACCAAGGCGACGAUCCGUAACUGGUCUGAGAGGAUGAUCAGUCACACUGGAACUGAGACACGGUCCAGACUCCUACGGGAGGCAGCAGUGGGGAAUAUUGGACAAUGGGCGAAAGCCUGAUCCAGCCAUGCCGCGUGUGUGAAGAAGGUCUUCGGAUUGUAAAGCACUUUAAGUUGGGAGGAAGGGUUGUAAGCUAAUAUCUUGCAGCUCUGACGUUACCAACAGAAUAAGCACCGGCUAACUCUGUGCCAGCCGCCGCGGUAAUAC
rnacentral:rRNA from 1 species